rnacentral:piRNA from 1 species
UUUGAUCGAAGGUUAAAUAUA